rnacentral:rRNA from 1 species
GAUGAACGCUAGCGACAGGCCUAACACAUGCAAGUCGAGGGGCAGCAUGAAAUUAGCUUGCUAAUUUUGAUGGCGACCGGCGCACGGGUGAGUAACACGUAUGCAACCUGCCUGUAAGCGGGGGAUAACCCGGAGAAAUUCGGACUAAUACCGCAUAAUAUCAUUAAUUCGCAUGUUUUAAUGAUUAAAAAUUUAUUGAUUACAGAUGGGCAUGCGUAUGAUUAGCUAGUUGGCGGGGUAACGGCCCACCAAGGCUACGAUCAUUAGGGGUUUUGGAAGGAAGGUCCCCCACAUUGGAACUGAGAAACGGUCCAAACUCCUACGGGAGGCAGCAGUGAGGAAUAUUGGUCAAUGGACGCAAGUCUGAACCAGCCAUGUCGCGUGAAGGAUGACUGUCCUAUGGAUUGUAAACUUCUUUUAUAUGGGGAUAAAGUGUGAGACUUGUCUCAUUUUGCAUGUACCAUAUGAAUAAGCAUCGGCUAACUCCGUGCCAGCAGCCGCGGUAAUAC